rnacentral:ncRNA from 1 species
AAUUUGUUGAGCCAGUUGAGACAUCCAGUAAGAUGAUCAUAGUCUUUUUUAUCUGAACCCUCGAAUAAUGUUAGAUAAGAUGGGGAGCAACCGAUCGGGAGAGAAAAGCCAGUGGCGCGAAGCUACCGUGCGUUGGAUUAUGACUGAACGCCUCUAAGUCAGAAUCCGGGCUAGAUGCGACGCGUGCGCCCGCCGUCCGAUUGCCGACCUGCAGUAGGGGCCUCUUGGCCCCGGAGGCACGUGCCGUUGGCCAAGCCCUCGCGGUGAAAGAGCCGCGCGGGCCGCCUUGAAGUACAAUUCCCACCGAGCGGCGGGUAGAAUCCUUUGCAGACGACUUAAAUACGCGACGGGGUAUUGUAAGUGGCAGAGUGGCCUUGCUGCCACGAUCCACUGAGAUUCAGCCCCAUGUGGCUCCGAUUC